rnacentral:rRNA from 1 species
CCUACGGGAGGCAGCAGUGGGGAAUAUUGCACAAUGGGGGAAACCCUGAUGCAGCGACGCCGCGUGAGUGAAGAAGUAUUUCGGUAUGUAAAGCUCUAUCAGCAGGGAAGAAAAUGACGGUACCUGAGUAAGAAGCCCCGGCUAACUACGUGCCAGCAGCCGCGGUAAUACGUAGGGGGCAAGCGUUAUCCGGAUUUACUGGGUGUAAAGGGAGCGUAGACGGCAGCACAAGUCUGGAGUGAAAUGCCGGGGCUUAACCCCGUAACUGCUUUGGAAACUGUGCAGCUAGAGUGCAGGAGAGGUAAGUGGAAUUCCUAGUGUAGCGGUGAAAUGCGUAGAUAUUAGGAGGAACACCAGUGGCGAAGGCGGCUUACUGGACUGUAACUGACGUUGAGGCUCGAAAGCGUGGGGAGCAAACAGGAUUAGAUACCCCAGUAGUC